GGCAAAGCAGCCAAGCGGUCCAAGGCGCCAGGUUCGGGACCACCUGAAUUCAUCAUCCUGGUCUCAGAAACGGGGCGCGAGUUCGAAUCUCGUCUUUGUCA